CUCUUCAACGAAAUUUCCCAUCAUCCUUCCUUCCUCUAUCCCUCUUGUCUUGUCUCCGCUCCUCUGUUCACGGGCUUCAGAAGCUCGAAUACCCGGAGACUUGUCUCCUUGACAACAACCACACGUAACCGUUUUGGUGCUGCGCGACCGGAAGCGGAGUGGCCCGGAGCCUCCUGGGAACUGUGGUCCCGCCUCACUGGGGCCCGCCCUGCGUAUGUUUCUGCCUCCUCGAGCUCCGGAACCAAGGCAUGAGUGACAGUGACGCGUGACUUGCCCGUUUGGAAGCCUUAGGGUGGGAACUAUUCCGUGCACGGCCACCUGCAGGCCCAGGUCGCGGACGUUGGUAGAGCCGAGGAGCCUGGACCGUCUCCUCGGUAACCCGCUUGCCGCGAGGCCUCUGCUAAUUGUAGUUGAGCGGGGCCGGGUCCGCAUCGGAGGUCCGAGCCACAGCCGUUACUGCUCAACCACCGCGGCCAGAGCGAGCCGCAGCCAACUCGCCUUUCGGGUGGUGAGGAUUUUCAGGCUUCUUGGGCGAGUUGCCACGGCGUUACCUCGGCUUCCGAGCACGCAGGCAGGACAGGACGUUUUCUGGGGGAAGAUGGCGCCUCCACUACCAGCUUACGAAUCCCCAGCGUCUGCCAAUUGAGCCUCAGUUCAAACGUGGGUCGUGGGAGCUCCACCCUCUCCAAGCCAGUGGGGGAACAUCAGAUCUCUUCUUGAUGGAGCAUGCUUUGACUGAAAAGCGCCCGCACUGAAAUAAGUGACACGUGUAUUGGACAACUUCUAGAGUCUCCUGUCACUGUUGGCAUCUCUGGGACACGGAAGUAGGAGAGGUCAGAGGUAGGGAUGAUAUUCAUCUGGUGCCCACCAGAAUGGAUGGAUGGGUUGCUCAAAUAUGUAAAUGCUUCUGGACUGGUGGGUAAGCAGCUGCUGCUGCGUCGCCGAGUGCCCCGCACCCCAGCAACUCCCCCCUGACCCUCAGGACCUUUUCAGGGUCCAACAUCUAAUGUUAUCACUGGGUCCUACAAGAGGCCUCUGGGCCCCUGCCGCUGGGUGUCCAGAUGAGACCACAGCUGUUCUAACCAGUGUGUGGGCCCUCCCCGUGAAGUGUUUGUGGUAUCCCCCUUGGCCUCCAGCCUUCAUGCCCCUUCGCUGCCCAUUCUCAGGAAGGACAGCUGAGCAGCGAGGCCCCGCAAAAUGAGUGCUGGAACCAACUGGAUUCACGUCCCUGCUCCACGUAUUCUAGCUCUGCCAUCUUGGGCAAGUGCUUUAAAUUCUCUGAGCCUCUGUCUCCCCAUCUGCAGGCGUCAAAUAAAAUAAUAGAGGAGAAAGUAAAUGAGAAAUGUAAACCACAAAGUGCUUACAUACAAAAGUUAUUUGUAAAUUAUUGUUUCUGACGUGUAUGAGUUCUUUGUCCCACACAGGACCAUGCCUACCCUCAAAGCCCGCUGUCUUCCCUCUGGCGGGGCCCCUUCCUCUUAUCCUUUCAGCAGUUACCUCAAACCUCCAUCCUCCGCUGCCCUUCAAGGGAUGCCCCAGGACUCCGCUCUUUGGAGGUCACUAACCUCGGCUCCUUGGGGCAGCUUCCUCAGCUGCCUGCGUAGCACACCCUCUUCCUGUGUGGGCAGGAGAGCUCGAGUUAUUCUUCAUUAACUUCUCAGAAUUCCUUUCACCCCAUCACUACUUUGAUCCCCUGCUUUUUCCUCAUCCACUCCCCAGCUCAUGACCUCAGGACUGAGGACAGGGAGUUCAGCUCAGAUCAGGAACUUGCUGAAAGAAGACCCCACGGGUGACUCAGGCAGACUCCAGGGAAGCUCUGCAGGCACCUGAGCUGGGAGACACCUCAGAAUGUUCCAGUACCUUAGACCAGCAUCAGGGAACCUCCCAGAGGGGAGGCCAAGCAGCUUCCCUGCCCCUGAGAAGAGUUUCAAGCAGGAGAAAUAGAAGCUGUGAAGGUGAUGAGAGUGACCAAACCUGCAGACCAGACUUAAAGCUCUUUCAGAAAGAACCACAUCUUGUCUUUUGUGUUCUCCACAGCACCACCGAACACCGAGACACUCGGGAUGCUUUGUUGACUUGCCACUGUAUAUGGCUGUGGACACUGCAAUUGAAGCUGGUAAAAUGGGAGUUGUCACAGCUCUGGGCAGUCGUGGAUGCAGGUGCAUUUACCUGUGACUGGAGAUGGAGCUGCCUUCUCUGGGAUGGGUGUCGGUCAUUCUCUUCCAGGUCACACAGGAGGAAGGUGAUCUCAUCCCAACUGCCAUGUUUUCCACCCGACACCCAGCCCCUUGAGAGGCAGACCGGCCCCAUGAGCCCCAAUAACCAUAAGGUGGCAGAAGCUUUGUCCCCUUUGCCUCAGCUCCACCUGAGAGCUGUUGCUAGCCACCAGGCAUGGCGCUCAUCCUGGGAAUGACCUUGGAAGGGGGAGGCAGGGGACAAGCAAGAAAUCAGUGUUGUUGCAGAGCUGUCCAUCAGAGUGUCCUGGUUAGGUAUGGCUAGUUCAGGGACCACCUUCAGCAUGAACUUGAGCUCUUUGACGGCAAUGUCUGAAGCAUCUCCACAUUCACAGUGCCUAGCUUUGUCCCUGGCACAUAGUAGGUACUCAUCUGGCACGGAGUAGGUGGAUGCUGCUAUAGUUACCAACAACUGAGUAGCUCAUGGAGGUGAACUCCUACACGUCUAUGAGAAAGAAUCACAUCGCAUCUUUUGUAUUCAACCCAAGCUUAGAGGAGGACACAUGCUAAUAACUGUACUGAAUGUCCCCAACGAGAGUACAGCAUCCCUUUGGUGCAUGGUGACCUUCUGGGUCCCAAGCACAAAACCCAGAAACUGCCUCUUGCCUUUUGUUAGUUGCAAAAUUUCUCCCCUGCCAAAAAGUGGGAGACACAUUGGAGCUCUCUUCUACCUUUCUAGAACAGCUAGUAAGUUAGAAUGUUCUUGGUGGAAAAGGAAGGGCUAACCCCUAGUGCUGACACUCCCCAUAAGAACUGCAUUUCUUGGGAACCCAAGGCUACUGCCAAGCAGCUGAACCUCGAGCCUGGUGAAAAUGUGAGCCUGUCAUCGAGCAUUAGGCAGAGAAAGAAAGGGAGGGCCCUGGCCAGCUGCCUCUUUGUCUGCUUAGCAGAGGCUUACGAGCUCAUGCAUUAUCUCUGGACAGGACAGCUGGUCACCGGGUUUGUGCUCCAGGCUUGGGAGUUUAUAGCUGAGCUGUCAUUUAUAAGGAAGUAUCCAAAAUAACCCUCUCAAAUUACUCCUCUAAUGACUCUCAGUGACUAUCCCAAGGCCACGUUGAGUAAGAAAUUACAGAGACAGGUAGAGGAGAUUGAAAUGGUAAUCAAGUGAAGGCUGUUGAGGGAGGAAGGGAUUAGUGGGACAGGUGCCCCUACACUCAGCACUGCAGGGGAGCUGGCCGGAGCUGUUCUAAAGGCUUCUGGGUCUAGAAGGAAAGCUGUAAAGUGCUCUGUGCUACGUAAAGACAGCCCCACUCUCCGCUCCCCACCGUGGACGUGGAUGGCACCAGGGAAGUUCCCCGUCAGAACGAGCAGGACUGCCUCUGGAGAUGUUCAUUGGCUGACUGUCCUGGCGGGGCUCUGACCCUGCUCCCGAGUCUGUAAGACGCUAACAGUAGCAGGAACUCGCGGGCACUCAGUGCCAGCUGUGCCAAGGGCUUCACAUGCAGUGUCUCAUUUAAUCCUCCAACAACCCUACGAAAUAGGAUGUUUCUAUCCUCAUGUUACAAAUGAAGAAACUAAGACUUAGAGAGGUUAAAUAACUUGCCCAAGGUCAUGCAGCUAAUAAGUAGAGGAGCAAGGAUUCAAAUCCAGGUCUGCCUAUUACCCCUGCUUUUGAAAGUUCUAGUUUUCCCAUUGCAGGAUUUCUAAUUCCAUUCUCUGGAAUAACCAGUCCACUUUCUGUCUCUGUUCCGUGGCCAUAUUGAAAUCGUCCUGCUUCCACAAUCCCUUCUUUGGCCUGUCAGUGCCACAAAACAGUCUCUAAGAGGUCGAGUUCAGUAGGUACUGACCGCUUCCGACACCUAUUAAAGCCACAUUCCUGAGAGACAUCCUGCGUUGUCCAAGCAGUCACUGGGAUUUCUGCUAUGGGAAUUCAGGGAGAUUCCUGAGUCAUGGCAGACUCAAGAAUCUGAUUACGCUCUCAGUCCUAUAGGAUACUCAGGCAGAACAAAGCAGGAACAAUUUCUUUCUGCCCCACCGUGUCCGGGGUUCCGCUGGAGGGGCCCAGAUGGCUGCAGUAGGUCGGGAUGGUUGGACAGUGGCUGUAGGUCAGGGGCCGUGGUUCUGUCUGCCAGCUGGACCCCGCCUUUCUCCACGUGGCAUCUGCCGAAACGGGGCUGCAGUGUCCAAAAUGGCUUUUUCACUCAUGUAGACACGAUCCUCGGUCUUCUUCCACGUAGCCUAAUCUUACAUUGUUGCUCCACUCCACUGUACCUGUUCAACCCCGCAACCCUUCCGUAGGGAACCGCCUCCCUCAGCGCUCGCUGCCGAGUGGCUGUGUUAUAUCACGCGACCCUCCCCAUGCACACAUACAAGUCACUGGACCAGGAUCCAUUUUAGGCUGGCCAGUGACUCGAAGUCACCUGGCUCAAAACAAGGAAAGCCAGUAAGACCAGUCAGAUUCCCCUUUUGUGACGAGAUGUUACGUGAGCAAGUAGAGCCUGGAUGGACCAAUGUGCUAGCCAGAAUUAAGGAAGAAACCUGGAGAUUUGAAGAAAAAAAAAAAGAAAAGCUAUGACAAUGCAGUUAUAAUGGAGGGAAUAGCGAGCCUGGUUUUGGCAAGAGAAUGAAAGAGGGAAUGACCUCCUUUAGAAUCCCAUAGCUGGGACUCCGCGAAAGGCAGGGGGGAGCCAGCCCCAGAGGCACUCUCGUGCCCCUGGGCUCACCAGGCUCUGAUUCGCCCCAUGUGUGUCAUUGCAGCAGGCUGGUUACUUAUUUACUUUGCUGUCAGUUGGCUUAGAAAUGGGCAUGUGACUUAAUUGUGCCUAAACAUAUUAGGAAAUAGCUGGGGGACCUUCUGGGAAGAAUUUUGCUUUUUGAUUCAAGAAACAGUGAAGAGGCCUGUCCCUUCUUACUACUUUGAGCAUAGGUGUUUGUGGACAUGAUACUUAGAGCUGUAGCAGCCGUCUUGAGACCAUGAGGUAACAAGACCAAGGGAAAAAGCCAACGUACUGAGGUUGGCCUAGCAGACAGACAAAAAGAGCCUGGGGUCCUUGAUGAUAUAGUUGAGCCACUAUACUUAUCCUAGAACUACCUACUUCCAGUUUUACUGAUACGUUAGUGAAAUGUCUUUACUUUCUAUGCAGAUUUCUGUUAUUUGAAGGCUUAGGCGUUUUUAACCAGUAUAGCAAUCCUCUGAACCUGUAUUCAACUCCUUAGAACCCCAUGGCUCUUGACACAGCUCCAAAUGGAAAAUCAACCCAAACUUAGACAUUGGAAAUCUUAUUUAUGUGGUAGGAAAUAAAAGUCAAGAUUUCUCACAGCCUACAGAACAAUUUCAGCACUUGGUCCCAAUUCCCGGGGCCUACAGAACACAGAUGAGGAAAGAUAGAUUCAGGGACGUUCUAGAUGCAUGAGCAUGAGUCUUCUAAAAUGGGGCUCAAUAUUGAAUUUUAGAAAGACCGAGUUCGGCGGGAGCAGGGUGUGUUUGUGGUGGUGGGGGGUGUUAGUUAGUAAUGCCUGAGAUGCAGAGCCUGAGCACAGGCCAGAAAGCCAGGGGAGUGCACAGAAGCAGCAGCAAGCUGACACGGGCAAUGGUGGGUGGGUUGGAUGACUUCUGGAGAAGGAAGCUGGUAUCCACAGCAGGAUUUUAUGAUCUCCAAGUCGUUUAUGGCAGCUGGAACUCAAUUGUUGGAAAACUAGGCCUUUCAGUUACUCUCCAGCCAGCCUUAACGACAUUUUUAGAGCCUCCUAGGAAUAAGGCACCCUGAAUUGUAGCCACUCCCUAUGUACGGGCACUCCCCAUGUUCUCCAUUUCUCCUUUUUUUCUCUGCGUUUACCUCCUGUCUUCUCUAAGCAAAGCCGGGAGCCAGAAACACACAAGACCUACCUCAAUGGGAGAGCAAAUAUAGUGGGAGACAAGGGUGUCUUCUGGUGGGAUAAGGAGUUAGGUUGGGAGGAGAGAAGGCAGUCAGUUGAUAAGGACUAGAUUAAGCUUUCUUCAUACCCAAUUUUUGCCAAGCAAUGUGUUUUUAUAUUUCUUCAACCCAAAAUUGCCAGGUCCUUCCCUUACGAAAUGAGAAGUUGAGCUCCAACUCUAGCCCUUUCUCUUCGAACUUCUAGUUUUAAAUCUAAAACAUACAGUGGCAUCCUCUUCAUGUGUCCUACAAAUACAAGUGAUUCCAUUACAUUCAGAACUUGAGAAAUGUCUCCCACCCAUUUCCCAUCUCAAAAUGAUCUUCAGCAGUAUACAGCUGUGGCCCGUAGACGUUCAUCAAAUUAAAGGGGCCCAGACACAUUGAUAAUAGAAUUUGCAACCACCAGAUUCUGCCCUCUUGGUGUUCCCUUAUUUAUGCACCCUACAUAUCUUACGGAAUCCUGCCCCCAAAGGUCGAAACCAGCCAAACAACCCUGAUGUUUGCCUAUUGUAUUCAUUCAUUCAGCAGAAAUGUAACAGAAUUGUAAGUUACGCUUAUAAAAGCAAUGGUAAUAUUAGGAAGAUAAGUCAUGUAAAAAAAAAUCCUGUGAGGUAAUCAGAAAGGAAUGAAAGCUUUGGUUUGGGUAGAGGAAGCAAAAAGUUUAAACCCCUACGUAAUGUGAUUAAUGCUUUCAUGUGAUACUUUAUAAGCCCCAAAUUGCCUCCCAAGUUUCCCCAUAUAUCACGAAGGAUUCUCUGAAACCCAAUAAGAGAAAGAACUGAAGGCCUUUCCUCAUUCUCCGUAAUCAAGGUUUUUCUCCAGUAUGAAUUAGCCUGAUUACUGACUAAACACUCUCCCACAAUCUUGACAACACGAGAGUGUCUUUCCUAUGAACUCGUCAGUGAUGACAAAGGGCUGCACUAUCCCCACAUGAUUUUCCACGUUGAUUAUGCUCACAGAUUUCUCUCCCGGAUGAAUGAUCUGAUGUUCAAUAUGCUCCACGCCUCCCCUGGGUACUUUUCCAUAUUCAUCACCUAUGACCAGGUCAAGUCCCAAGGGAAUUAGCUGACAUUGUCUAAGAAUGAAACUCUGAUGGAAGGUUCAUCCGCAUCGAGUAUGCUCCCAGGGCUCCAUUCUGCCAUGAAAUCCAGGAUGUCUAGCUCUGAGCACUGUCUAAAAGCAUUUUUCCAUCCAUUACAUGCAUAUGGUUUUUCUCCAGUGUGAAUUCUCUGACGUUGAAUGAGCUUUAUUCUUGUGAAAGCAUUCACAUUUAUUGUGCUUGUAGAGUGUCUACUGCAUGUGAGUCAGUGGGUACUGUGUGGUGCUGGGAUGCUGGUGGAUGCCUCUCCCAACGGAUUCUCUCCGAGGUGGAUGCUCGGACGUUCAGUAGGAUGGGAGCCCCAACGGAAGUUGCCUGUAUCUGAAACAAAGAUGUUCUCUCCAAUAUGAAUAUUGUAAUACUGAAUAAAUUUUGAGUUCUGUUCUAA